AUGUGGGGAAGGCAGAGGAUCGAGAAAAGCUGGUAAACAUGGCUCUGAAGCUUCACCAAGGGAUUGAUAUCCUGGUCUCCAAUGCUGCUGUCAACCCUUUCUUUGGAAAUCUAAUGGACGUCACAGAGGAGGUGUGGAACAAGGUUUUGAGCAUUAAUGUGACAGCUUCAGCAAUGAUGAUUAAGGCGGUGGUGCCAGCGAUGGAAAAACGAGGAGGCGGCUCGGUGGUGAUUGUGAGUUCCGUAGCAGGCUUCGUUCUAUUCCCUGUGAGUACCUGUCACUCCUACCUGCUCUCCACCUUACACCAUCCACCCCUCCAACUGUCCAAAGAAGUAUUUUAGCAUCAUUCUACCAAGUCCUCUCCCACAAAAGAGAUGCCUUGCUUCCAUGAACACUAACCUACAUGAGACUACGAGGUGAUUUCUGACUGUGACCUUCCCUAACAGGAGGUGCUUUUGGGAGGCUCCUGCCCUUGUACACUAAGAACCAAAAAUGACCCUGCAAACUAAUAAAGAACUCAAUUCUCUUCUU
rnacentral:lncRNA from 1 species